GCCGGGUGCGGUGGCUCACGCCUGUAUUCCCAGCACUUUGGGAGGCCGAGGCGGGUGGAUCACCUGAGGUCAGGAGUUUGAGACCAGCCUGACCAACAUGGUGAAACCCUGCCUCUU
rnacentral:sRNA from 1 species